rnacentral:rRNA from 1 species
GGGGGGGCUGCUCCUAGUACGAGAGGACCGGAGUGGACGCAUCACUGGUGUUCGGGUUGUCAUGCCAAUGGCACUGCCCGGUAGCUAAAUGCGGAAGAGAUAAGUGCUGAAAGCAUCUAAGCACGAAACUUGCCCCGAGAUGAGUUCUCCCUGAGACUUUAAGUCUCCUGAAGGAACGUUGAAGACGACGACGUUGAUAGGUCGGGUGUGUAAGCGCAGCGAUGCGUUGAGCUAACCGAUACUAAUGAACCGUGAGGCUUAACCUU